CUAGAGACAAGGGGAACCACUUGCGUCCCCCUCAGAGAUCUUGACAGAUUCUGUUUUAGAAAACAUCACUCUGGAAACAAAAAAGGGAACAGGUGGGUGGUGUUAGAGGAACCAGUUACGAGGCUGUUCCUACAAUGGUCUGGUCUCUCUACAACGGGAAGUUUCUGGCAGGUGCACAGAUGCCUACAAGGGAUUCUCCACCUUGCCAUUUUCUAUGGCACUUGAAUCCACUGCCCCUUGUGGAAAGCGGCCAGGGUGCCAAGAACUCACUUUACUGUCUUGGGGGAUGCGUGUAGUUGAGCGUGGCCAGAAGCAGCCCAGCAGUUUCUUAACCGUGAGGUGCCUUUUCUAUCUUCUGUGACCCAAGUAUCAUCUCGGCGAGGAAAUGAACCUGCAACAACUUCCUGUUAUUUAUGGGGCAACUUCCCAGUUCUCAGACCUAUCUCCACACAGCCCAAAAGCUUGGAUUUUGUUGCUGAAAUACUGAUGGUUGAGGUCUUGACCCUCAGGGCACCGAGCUGUGGUCCGAACACCGAACAGCUGGACCACUUGGUCAUUUGCUCAACUACAAUUUCCUCUGGACCUUUACACCCUCACUGGAAAACUUCUGCAGCCCCUCAGGGCCCCCCCGGCGUCCUGUGCGGGGUCCCCUUGCCACUGUGAUCUAUCGGCAUCACCUGAACGAGCCGGCAGCUCACAGCACAGGCACGUGAGCCUCUGCAACACCGAUGACUGCUGGACCCUCAACCCGGAGCCUUCCCGACACCGGCAGCCGCCCGCUGGGCUUCUGUCUGAGUCAUUUCUCUCCAGCGCUGCUGCAGACCCCCACGUCAUCCUUUCCAAAAAUAUUCAGUCUUUGAGACCCGUGUGAGGAAGCCUCUCCAUUUAAAACAAAAAACGCACCCAGUGGUUUUGGUAACAGAAGAGAUCUUCCUUCCCAAGCUCCCGAGUCGAGCAAGCUGCAGUGGAUUCGAACUUUCCAGUCACCGGAGCCGUGUUCCUCAUCCAACACCACGCCCCCACCCCCCACUCCCCGUGUACUAGCCCUGGCUCUUAAAAUCAGUUGUCUUACCUGGCUGCGUUUCCACACAAUAAAGGAAAACUACACUGAAUUGCAAAGAUUUCAGCAGCUUGUCUAAACUCACCUUCCUCCACAUUUCCACCGACCUAACCAACUUAGCGGCCACCUGACCCUCGAGGACCACUGGAUCUGGAGCAGUCUGUCCCUUCAUCUCUGUCCCACCUUUUCCAGAAACUUGCAAUUGGGGGAACAAAGCUCACUGUGCCUAGUGACUCCUAGCACUGUCUGUCCUUCCACCCCUGGUUCUGAUAAACCACUUGCUGACAGACUCAAUUCCUAGGGGCCAGGAAGGAAUGCUACGGGCGCAUCAGCACAGAUCACCCCCUUCGCAAACAGAGACAGGGGCUGGAUCUGAGAUCAAGCAUAUUACACGAAAUAUAUUAGAUACAUUAGAUGGAAAUAUACUUCAUUAUCUUACUGGUUGAAAAUAUAUUUCCCAGGUUCCAUGACCUUCAUUUUUUUGUUGACAUAUCGAAGUCUUAUGUAAUUUCACUUUAACAGAGCCAACGUUAUCUUUUCCUUUGUGAUUUAAAACGUUUCCCCCCCAGACAGAAGUCUGGGUGGAAAAGGGCUUAUUUUUUCUUCUAAACUUGAAAAUAAAGUUUCCUUCCGUUUAA